rfam:Clostridium kluyveri DSM 555, complete genome.
ACAAUGAUACUUCUGCAUAGCCACAGACAUCGCAAUGGGUGCAGCCGCCGGAGAACCCGGCGGGGGUGAGAGUCCCAUGA